rnacentral:rRNA from 1 species
GAUGGACACUGGCGGCGUGCCUAAUACAUGCAAGUCGAGCGAACAGACGAGGAGCUUGCUCCUCUGACGUUAGCGGCGGACGGGUGAGUAACACGUGGAUAACCUACCUAUAAGACUGGGAUAACUUCGGGAAACCGGAGCUAAUACCGGAUAAUAUAUUGAACCGCAUGGUUCAAUAGUGAAAGACGGUUUUGCUGUCACUUAUAGAUGGAUCCGCGCCGCAUUAGCUAGUUGGUAAGGUAACGGCUUACCAAGGCAACGAUGCGUAGCCGACCUGAGAGGGUGAUCGGCCACACUGGAACUGAGACACGGUCCAGACUCCUACGGGAGGCAGCAGUAGGGAAUCUUCCGCAAUGGGCGAAAGCUUGACGGAGCAACGCCGCGUGAGUGAUGAAGGUCUUCGGAUCGUAAAACUCUGUUAUUAGGGAAGAACAAAUGUGUAAGUAACUAUGCACGUCUUGACGGUACCUAAUCAGAAAGCCACGGCUAACUACGUG